rnacentral:misc_RNA from 1 species
GCGGCGCAGUACAAGGGGUGAAGAUGGCGAGGGCGUGGGUACUAGUGGUGCUGGUCUUGGGGAUUCAGAACGCCUUGGCAGCCGACGAUGGCGAACAAGACGUGCCGUACCUGGAGGGCAUCCAGCUGAUUAAAAUCCACAUGCCGCUGUCUCGCCGCAACAGCGGCGGCAGGCCCUGCCCAAGGCCGUGCGCCGGCGGCGGGCGCGGGUGCUCUGGCUCCAACGCCACCACCACCACCUCGACAACCACCACCACCACCACCACCAUGGCGACCGCCACGUCCACCUCGACCAGCACCGACGCUCAUCGUCGGACGACCACGACGAAAUACCCGACGAACGAGAUCGUCGUCCCGGACGCAGCCACCGUCGACGUCAUCUUCGCCAACAUGAGCAGGCUCAACGACAGCGUGACGUCGUUCGGCUUCGGCGGCACGUUCGAGGUGCGCGUGAACCGCAGCCGGCGGGCGGUGGACGUGACCUUGGCGCGGGUGGCCGACGAGGGGCCUGGAGGCGCUCGACGACGCCGAGCCGGCCGGCCCCGUCGACCUGGUCGUGCGCGGGCCCAGCGUGACGGGCAUCGACGAGGACGCUGACAACGCGAUCGACGUCGAGUACGGGGACGACGACGAGGACUACGUCGAGGACGACGCUGGGGACGGGAACGCGGACGACGACUGGAGGAUGGAUGCCGAUGCCGCCGGCCUCGAAGGCCGCUCGCGCUGGAGAAGCUGGGGCCGGGGUCGCCACGGUGGGCGCGGCGGCGGCUCGGGGAGGCGGCGCCGCGGCCACCCCAUCUACAUCAACGGCACCGCGCUCAGCGGCGACGCUCUCUGCAACAUCGACUUCAACACGUCCGGCGUGUUCCAGCUGAACAAGACCAUGACGGAUCGCACCAUGACGGUGAUCAUCACUCAGCUGAUCGCCACGGGAGGACAGCUGGGCGCGGCUCGCCACGGGCUCCUGUUUGGCGCGACAGAUGACACGGUAGCGAACUCUGGCGGCGUCCCGAUGACAGCCGUGAUGAUCGUCGCUGGUGUCACCGCGCUGGUCGUCCUGAUCGCGGCCAUCGUGGUGACGCGCAUGCGCAGUCGCGCCCACCGCUCGUCGUUCGUGCGCGUUGGCCACGGAUACGGAACGAUCGAAAGGCCGUCCGACGCCAGCAACUACUACGGCAUCCAUACCGCUACACCGUAGCGACCGGCCCGUCGGUGGCGCCAGCGACGCUCGCCGACGCCCGCCUGAAGUUCAGGGCAUGUAUCUGACGCCGUAGAAGGCAAACGUGCCAACGGGUGGUGGUGGUGGAAGGACUAAUGCUUGCUUGGAGCGUAGGGAAGACGCGCGCCAUCCCAGACAACGAAUGCCGCUGGUGCAACCCUUUCUUUUCGCAUAGGACUCUCCCGCUGGAACGUGAAGACGAGUGCCAUUCCCGAUUCUAGCCGUCCGUGCCAGCCACCAGCGGACCGCCAGUGAUGCGACUCAUACUAUCUUAUCGCUGCUUUGCUACCCGUACAACUGGAUGUUUCUGCAAUGGGUGCAAAGUCUAGUGUUUACUUGUGUGUGUGUGUGAGGGCCACAGGGGCGGAGUCUGACGGUCGGGCUGAUUACCACGUCAUGAGUUACGCUCAGUGCGUGCCGAAGACGCUGCGCCUGCAGUGGACGAGUUUAUGCUGUGGUUCUCUGAUGGAUGAUCUGACUUCAUAGUGUUUACCGAUUUGUCGGGCCAGCGUGCCUCGCUGCCUUUCUCGUGCCUCUGUACUCAUGACACGACGCCAAUACACGAGCAGGCCUUGG